GAUGAACGCUAGCGGCAGGCUUAAUACAUGCAAGUCGUGGGGCAGCAGCUCUGUAGCAAUACAGAGGCUGGCGACCGGCAAACGGGUGCGGAACACGUACGCAACUUACCCUGAACUGGGGGAUAGCCCACCGAAAGGUGGAUUAAUACCUCGUAACACUGUGAAGUGGCAUCGCUUUACAGUUAUAGCUCCGGCGGUUCAGGAUGGGCGUGCGGCUGAUUAGGUAGUUGGUUGAGGUAACGGCUCACCAAGCCUGCGAUCAGUAACUGGUGUGAGGGCACGACCAGUCACACGGGCACGGAGAAACGGGCCCGACUCCUACGGGAGGCAGCAGUAAGGAAUAUUGGUCAAUGGACGCAAGUCUGGACCAGCCAUGCCGCGUGGAGGAUGAAGGCCCUCUGGGUUGUAAACUUCUUUUAUGGGGGACGAAAUCUCUUAUUCUUAAGAGUCUGACGGUACCCCAGGAAUAAGCACCGGCUAACUCCGUGCCAGCCGCCGCCGUAACAC
rnacentral:rRNA from 1 species